rnacentral:rRNA from 1 species
UACGGGGGGGGCAAGCGUUGUUCGGAAUUACUGGGCGUAAAGGGCGCGUAGGCGGCCCGCUAAGUCGAACGUGAAAUCCCCGGGCUCAACCCGGGAACUGCGUCCGAUACUGGCGGGCUCGAAUUCGGGAGAGGGAUGCGGAAUUCCAGGUGUAGCGGUGAAAUGCGUAGAUAUCUGGAGGAACACCGGUGGCGAAGGCGGCAUCCUGGACCGGUAUUGACGCUGAUGCGCGAAAGCCAGGGGAGCAAACGGG